rnacentral:rRNA from 1 species
AUUGAACGCUGGCGGCAGGCCUAACACAUGCAAGUCGAACGAGUGGCGGACGGGUGAGUAAUGACUGGGAAACUGCCUGAUGGAGGGGGAUAACUACUGGAAACGGUAGCUAAUACCGCAUAACAUCGGCUGGGCCCAGAUGGGAUUAGGUAGGAGGUGGGGUAAAGGCUCCCCUGGGCGACGACCCCUAGCUGGUCUGAGAGGAUGACCGGCCACACUGGAGCGGAGACACGGUCCAGACUCCUAGGGGAGGCAGCAGUGGGGAAUAUUGGACAUGGGGCGCAAGCCUGGUGCAGCCGUGCCGCGUGUGUGAAGAAGGCCUUCGGUUUGUAAAGUACUUUCAGCGGGGAGGCGUUACCCGCAGAAGAAGCACCGGCUAACUCCGUGCCAGCAGCCGCGGUAAUUC